GCGGGGGUCACCGGGCCGGGCCGGCAGCCCUAGAGCUCGGCCUGGCGGGGACCCUGGGCCAGCCCCGCGCCUCCGUGGCCCGGGCGUCUCGUGCGUGUCCGCGAACUCGCGUGCGCGCGUCACCUCGGACCGCAGCAUGGCUCGGAGGGCGGCCCUACUCGCGCCGCCCUAGUGCUGCGAAGGGCCUCGGAGCCCAAACCCGGAACCGCCAUCUGGGACUGGGAAGACGACAUGGCCAGAAGCCGACUGGACAGCCGGCACCACCCCAUGAUUCAAGGAUGGCCAUAGCCCAGUGCAGGAGCAGAUUUGCUUCCAGUUUGCCCUUCCUCCUAGGUGGAGUCUCGCUCUGUCACCCAGGCUGGAGUGCAAUGGCACGGUCUCAGCUCACUGCAACCUCUGCCUCCCAGAUUCAAGCAAUUCUGCCUCAACCUCCUGAGUAGCUGGGACUACAGGCACGUGUCACCACGCCCAGCUAUUUUUUUUUUUUUUUUUUUUUUUUUGAGACAGAGUCUCCCUCUGUCGCCCAGGCUGGAGUGCAAUGGCGCAAUCUCAGCUCACUGCAAGCUCCGCCUCCCCGGUUCCCGCCAUUCUCUUGCCUCAGCCUCCCGAGUAGCUGGCACUACAGGCGCCUGCCACCCAUGACCGGGUAAUUUUUUUUGUAUUUUUUAGUAGAGACGGGGUUUCACUGUGUUAGCCAGGAUGGUCUCGAUCUCCUGACCUCAUGAUCCGCCCGCCUCGGCCUCCCAAAGUGCUGGGAUUACAGGCGUGAGCCACCAUGCCCGGCCUUAAUAACUUUUUAAAGGAUGUCAAGUUAAUGGAAUGUAUUCUGCUUUAGAAAAUAAAACUCUUAGGUUUUCAAAACUUAGCAGCCCCAGCAUUACCAAGGGCCUGCCUACCGUUUACAGUAUGUGAAUCCUACUUCCUUUUCAUGGUUGUAAGACUGGGAUUUUCUGGGAGCCGACCUGCAGGAGUCCACAGGCCACCCGUUAGGACUGUGCACGCUCCUCCACAAACAUGCCUGUGGGGGGAUCCUUGGCUCUCUCUGCAGGGGUGCGUUGGGUGUGCACCAGCUGGGAAGGAAGGAUCUGUCGGAACUGCAAUCAAAGCCACGGCAGGCCUCCCAGGGUCUUACUGGUGGUGAAAACAACCAGCUUCCUCGUCCCUCCCUCAAGCAUGGCAACCACCGCCCUGAGACUCAAAGAUACCUGGAGGAGUGUGAUCGGGCUGACCUGUUGCUCUUAUCUGGAAUUCUUUGAGGGUGAUGGGAGAUCACUUCUUUUUUUUUUUUUUUUUUUUUUUUGAGACAGGAUCUUGUUUUGUCAACCAGGCUGGAGUGCAGGUUCAGGUGAUUCUUCCGCCUCAGCCUCCCCAAGUAGGCUGAGUAGCUGAGAAAACAGAUGCGCACCACCAUGCCUGGUUAAUUUUUGGAUGUUUUGCAGCCAUGUGGUUUCACCAUGUUGUCCAGUCUGGUCUUGAACUCCUGAGCUCAAGGGAUCCUCCCACCUCGGCCUCCCAAAGCAUUGAGAUUACAGGCCCCCACAUGCCAGACCAUCGUUGGUGGACCUCGUCACCAGCAUGAAGUGGGCUCUUGGAGUUGUCGACUGACUAGUUCACAAUUAGUGACUCAUAGCAUCUCACUCAUUUCCUUUUCAUCAGUAGGAGGCAGCAGUCUGCACUUUUGCAUCACAUUUCAAAGACAUCUGUGUGUUUGUUCUCGUGCAGAACACUUUGACUAUUGUAACCUCUAGGUCCAUGAAUGACCCUCAUCUUCAGUAAAAGUGGAUUCACGCUGGCAAAGUCUGCUUUGUUUUAUUGUGACACAUGGAACAUUAUGGAUUUUGGUGAAUAAAAACUAACUUAAAUUGAAGUCAUUCUUGUAAAAUGAAAAUACAUUUUUCUGCUGUUCUUAACUUUAUAAUAUAGAUACAUACUAUGUCUUAUGAAAUAGUAAAUGGAAAACACGAUUCAAAAAGC
rnacentral:lncRNA from 1 species